rnacentral:tRNA from 1 species
GAUAAAGUGGCUGAGAAUAGGCGAUAGAUUGUAAAUCUAUUUAUGGUUGAUAAACCCUUUAUCA